rnacentral:rRNA from 1 species
UGGGGAAUCUUGCGCAAUGGGCGAAAGCCUGACGCGGCGACGCCGCGUGAGCGAUGAAGGCCCUCGGGUCGUAAAGCUCUGUGGGGAGGAAAGAAUAAGAGCAGGCGAAUACCCUGCUUGAUGACGGUACCUCCUUAGCAAGCACCGGCUAACUCUGUGCCAGCAGCCGCGGUAAUACAGAGGGUGCAAACGCUGUUCGGAAUCACUGGGCGUAAAGCGGGUGUAGGCGGCUUGGUAAGUCGGGUGUGAAAUCCCAGGGCUCAACCCUGGACGUGCACUCGAAACUACUAGGCUUGGGUUCUGGAGAGGAAGGCGGAAUGCUUGGUGUAGAGGUGAAAUUCGUAGAUAUCAAGCGGAACACCGGUGGCGAAGGCGGCCUUCUGGACAGUGACUGACGCUGAGACCCGAAAGCGUGGGGAGCAAACAGGAUUAGAUACCCUGGUAGUCCACGCCGUAAACGAUGAGUGCUAGGUGUCACGGGAAUUGACCCCUGUGGUGCCGUAGCUAACGCGUUAAGCACUCCGCCUGGGGAGUACGGCCGCAAGGCUA